rnacentral:lncRNA from 1 species
AAAACUGAAAAAUUAAAUCAAAUCCAAAUCCUAAAAUUACAUCCAUUAAAUGCUCCUAUUUAAAAUACUUUGUACCUUUACUUAUCCCAUACCCAUCUUUCCAUUCUUUUCGUUUUACCAUUUAGGACCUCUCCAUCCCCAAGUCCCCACUCACUCUCACCCAUCCGUAUCCAUCUCCAAUAACGCUUUUCCAUCAAUUCCGAUCCAAAACCCCGUCUAUCUCACCUAUUCAAUCGGCGAAGGGAUGAUGAACGAGAAAUUACAAUGAUGAAAGAGUAUCAAUGAUCCUCUCGCUCUCUUAUCCAUCCCUUGUCCUUCUUAUUCUUUUUUUUUCUUUUUAUGUUUGUUCAUAUUGUUCUU